CGAAUACAUUAGCAUGGGAUAAUGGAAUAGGACCCUGUCCUCCUAUUUUCAGUUGGUUUUGGCAGCGCGAGGACUAGGGUAAUGAUUAAUAGGGAUAGUUGGGGGCAUUAAUAUUUAAUUGUCAGAGGUGAAAUUCUUGGAUUUAUGAAAGAUUAACUUCUGCGAAAGCAUCUGCCAAGGAUGUUUUCAUUAAUCAAGAACGAAAGUUAGGGGAUCGAAGACGAUCAGAUACCGUCGUAGUCUUAACCAUAAACGAUGCCGACCAGCGAUUAGGAGACGUUGAAUACAAAACACCACCAUCGGCGCGGUCGUCCUUGGCGUCUCGGUCCUUCACGGGGCCGGGGCGCGGGGGCGGCUUAGCCCGGUGGCACCGGUGAAUGACUCCCUAGCA
rnacentral:rRNA from 1 species